AAAUGACUAGAUGAAUUGUCUGUUGCUCAAUCCUUAGCUAAUAUCCUGUGUUUCUUCUUUGAAAUAAUUUAAAAGUGAUAAAAUGGUAUACAGCUGUUACACACUUAUUUAUACUAUAACCUUCUGCAAUAGCCAGCAUUUUGCUCGAGCUACUGCGACUGCUGCUUCCAACAGGGAGAAGAUUUCUGAACAAUCACAAAUGGCGAUGAUCAAGGAGUUUGAACACAUUUAAUGUUUAGUUUUUUCUUUUAUUUUUAGUCGAAAGGCGUCGACCAAGGAGUAGUUCAAAGCGUGAAGACACUUAAUGUAUUAUUUUUCCUUUUUCAUGUGUAAAUGCAUAUAAUGGCAAUAAAUAAGAAAGUAUUGGGCAGUGUAUUAGCUAAUUGACCAUAUAGUAAUGAAAGUAUUUAUAGUAUUUGUGUUGAGAAAUA